rnacentral:rRNA from 1 species
UACGUAGGGGGCGAGCGUUGUCCGGAGUUACUGGGCGUAAAGCGCACGCAGGCGGUCUGCUAAGUUUGGAGUGACAGUUGGUGGCUCAACCACCAAAGUGCUUUGAAAACUGACAGACUUGAGGGCUUCAGAGGGACACGGAAUCCGGGUGGAGUGGUGAAAUGCGUAGAGAUCCGGAGGAACACCGAAGGCGAAGGCAGUGUCCUGGGGAGUACCUGACGCUCAGGUGCGAAAGCUAGGGGAGCGAACGGG